ACGCUCGACACUACGGAGGCAGCAGUGAGGAAUAUUGGUCAAUGGGCGCUAGCCUGAACCAGCCAAGUAGCGUGAAGGAUGAAGGCUCUAUGGGUCGUAAACUUCUUUUAUAUAAGAAUAAAGUGCAGUAUGUAUACUGUUUUGUAUGUAUUAUAUGAAUAAGGAUCGGCUAACUCCGUGCUAGCAGCCGCGGUAAUCUGAGCGGGCUGGCAAGGC
rnacentral:rRNA from 1 species